rnacentral:tRNA from 1 species
AGGAGUGUAGCUCAGUUGGUAGAGCAGCGGUCUCCAAAACCGCAGGCCGCGAGUUCGAGCCUCGCCGCUCCUG